AUGAACAAGUGCAACACUUUCGAAGUAAAAAUAGACAAUUGGGGCCAAGGGGGAAGCUCAGUCCGUAUCGCCAAAGUAUCGCCGAAGAUCCAAGUUAUAGCUCGAUUGAAGUUUAAAGGCAACGUUCCCAUGUUCACGGUAAACGCUGUACUUCUCGGCUCAAUCGGAAAUACCUUUACAUUUCAAUCAGGUCAUAGCGCUGAUCUUCAGCAAUACGGAGUAAAUUGAACCUGUAGCCUUUCAUUCAUACAAUGCAGCCUUGAAGCAGCACUUCCUAAAUUCUCACAACAUAUUUUGGUUUAUUUCUCUGCUGGACAUGGGAAUACCCUUCGUAUGAGUUUAUAAACAGUAUCAUCUGCAACCAUGUGCAAAACAGUCCAGUGAAAGAACAGCAUUCUGAAAUGCAGUUAUGAAUAUCUUAACAAAGAUUACAUGGAAAUAGACAUGCAGAUUAUUAAAGGCGCCAAUGAGAUGUGGAAGUACAGUAAAUUCAAGAGGUGUUGCUAGGAGACACAACUGCCGGGUCACCUCGCUCUUUAUCUUCCCUAAACUACCUUCCCAAGUCUGACUCAUGAUUGAGAAGAGGUGUAAGUUUAGGAGGGAGUAUCUUCUACUUCAGCUUCAGCUCUGGCAUUCGUUGUCUACAACAUCAUCACGUUGCCCAGGGAUUUGGGCCUUGUCUUGACAAAGCAGCAUAUCCUUUGUGUCGGACUCAUUGAAGAAAAAAUCUUCGUCCAGUUUGAGUUCAGAAGGAGAGUCUCCCGUCUGUCCUGAGCCGCCAGAGCCGCUAGCCAG